CCCUUAGAUGUCCUGGGCUGCACGCGCGCUACACUGAUGUGUCCAGUAAGCACCUAACCUCUUCCGAAAGGAACGGGUAACCUUUGCAAAGCACAUCGUGAUGGGGAUAGAUUAUUGCAAUUAUUAGUCUUGAACGAGGAAUUCCUAGUAAGCACAAGUCAUCAGCUUGUGUUGAUUACGUCCCUGCCCUUUGUACACACCGCCCGUCGCUCCUACCGAUUGGGUGUGCUGGUGAAAUGUUCGGAUCGGCCGUUUGUCGCGGUUUCCGCGGCUCGUGGCUGAGAAGUUCAUUAAACCCUCCCACCGAGAGGAAGGAGAAGUCGUAACA
rnacentral:rRNA from 1 species